rnacentral:rRNA from 1 species
CCUACGGGUGGCAGCAGUGAGGAAUAUUGGUCAAUGGUCGGGAGACUGAACCAGCCAAGCCGCGUGAGGGAGGAAGGUACAGAGUAUCGUAAACCUCUUUUGUCAGGGAAUAAAGGCGGGGACGUGUCCCCGGAUGCGUGUACCUGAAGAAAAAGCAUCGGCUAACUCCGUGCCAGCAGCCGCGGUAAUACGUAGGUGGCAAGCGUUAUCCGGAUUUAUUGGGUGUAAAGGGCGUGUAGGCGGGAAAGCAAGUCAGAUGUGAAAAUUCAGGGCUCAACCGUGAGACUGCAUUUGAAACUGGUUUUCUUGAGUGCUGGAGAGGUAAUCGGAAUUCGGGGUGUAGCGGUGAAAUGCGUAGAUAUACGGAGGAACACCAGUGGCGAAGGCAGAUUGCUGGACAGUAACUGACGCUGAGGCGCGAAAGCGUGGGGAGCAAACAGGAUUAGAUACCCCUGUAGUC